rnacentral:rRNA from 1 species
AUUGAACGCUGGCGGCAGGCUUAACACAUGCAAGUCGAACGAGUGGCGGACGGGUGAGUAAUGCGUGGGAAUCUGGCUGAUGGAGGGGGCUAACGACUGGACACUGUAGCUAAUACCGCGUACCCUAGGAUGAGCCCACGUGGGAUUAGGUAGGUGGUGGGGUAAUGGCCUACCAAGCAGACCAACUCUAGCUGGUCUGAGAGGAUGACCAGCCACACGUGGACUGAGAAACGGCCCUGAAUCCUACGGGAGGCAGCAGUGGGGAAUAUUGCGCAAUGGGGGCAACCGGACGCAGCCAUGCCGCGUGAAUGAAGAAGGCCUUAGGGUUGUAAAGUCCUUUCGGUGACGAGGCGUUAAUAACAGAAGAAGCACCGGCUAACUCCGUGCCAGCAGCCGCGGUAAUUC